rnacentral:rRNA from 1 species
AGAGUUUGAUCCUGGCUCAGAUUGAACGCUGGCGGCAUGCCUUACACAUGCAAGUCGAACGGCAGCACGGGGGGUAACCCCUGGUGGCGAGUGGCGAACGGGUGAGUAAUAUAUCGGAACGUGCCCUGUAGCGGGGGAUAACCUAUCGAAAGAUGGACUAAUACCGCAUACGCUCUACGGAGGAAAGCGGGGGUCGCAAGACCUCGCACUAUAGGAGCGGCCGAUAUCGGAUUAGCUAGUUGGCGGGGUAAAAGCCCACCAAGGCGACGAUCCGUAGCUGGUCUGAGAGGAUGAUCAGCCACACUGGAACUGAGACACGGUCCAGACUCCUACGGGAGGCAG